CAAACUGUCACGAUAGUUCGAAAAACCAUAAUGAUAUGGACUGGAAGAUCCGAAGAUGGAGGCCUUUCGUUUAGUCUCCUUCGCAGGCAUUCUUCUAGGCUUUGCUGGAAUCACAGAAUAGGGUCACUGGCUCGAAUCAAAAUUAUAAUAAUUCGAUAAUAUGAUAUUAUGAUCAAAAGCUCAUAGCUGACAGCUCGGUGGGGAAAACCUAGGAUAUCAAGGGAUAAUAUGUUGGCAACCGCUGACCAGUCUUUGGUCUUGUUUUUCAGAAAAAUUCAAAAGCAGCUGCUUUUUUGUUGCUUGGCUUUGCUUUGAAUAGAAAGACAGGAAUAUUUUCAAUAAUUCAGAACAUUAUUUAAAACUUACUAAUAUGAAAGAAGACGAAGAGAACGAGCCUGACGGUAUUAAGUAGUUUUAAACUAACUACAUAUUAUCUUAUGAUCUUGUGAUCUAUAAACAUCAAUUUCAACUACAAAUAUGUUUACAUAAUUAUUGAAUUUUUAUUUCGAAUAUUCUCAGGCUCGAUCUAUCACGAAGUCCAGCCACCAGUAUGGAAAAGCUAUUGUGAGUAUUGUGCAUUUACCUUGGACGUGUACUUAAAAUAUAUAGAGAUGCUGUUUUAUGUGUGUUGUGUUUUGUUUUUAAUUUAAACGACAAUGUAUUUUUAUCGUAUCAAAAUAAAAUUGCGAAACAGGAUAUCGAAUUUUAAUUUUAUGAAUUUACACAAAAAUUACUACAAUUUUUUACCUUGAAAUAAUUUUACAAAUUAUCUAAACUUGUCGCAAUUGGUGAUAUUAUAUAAUGACGUUCUACUAAGGUAAACGCUUCUGCAUUUUCUAGUGUAUAACUUGCAGCUUUCUGCGCCAAAACCAACUCGAGUGCGAUGUGAAAGACAGGUA